rnacentral:rRNA from 1 species
GACGAACGCUGGCGGCGUGCUUAACACAUGCAAGUCGAACGGACAGGCCCUGCUUUUGUGGGGUGCUCGAGUGGCGAACGGGUGAGUAACACGUGAGUAACCUGCCCUUGACUUUGGGAUAACUUCAGGAAACUGGGGCUAAUACCGGAUAGGAGCUCCUGCUGCAUGGUGGGGGUUGGAAAGUUUCGGCGGUUGGGGAUGGACUCGCGGGUUAUCAGCUUGUUGGUGGGGUAGUGGCUUACCAAGGCUUUGACGGGUAGCCGGCCUGAGAGGGUGACCGGCCACAUUGGGACUGAGAUACGGCCCAGAAGCCUACGGGAGGCAGCAGUGGGGAAUAUUGCACAAUGGGCGGAAGCCUGAUGCAGCGACGCCGCGUGCGGGAUGACGGCCUUCGGGUUGUAAACCGCUUUCGCCUGUGACGAAGCGUGAGUGACGGUAAUGGGUAAAGAAGCACCGGCUAACUACGUG